rnacentral:rRNA from 1 species
AUCUACGGCCAUGCCACCCUGAACAAGCCCAAUCCCAUCUGAUCUUGGAGGCUAAGCAGGGUCGGGCCUGAUUAAUACUUGGAUGGGAGACCACCUAGGAAGACCAGGUGCUGUAGGCG